AUCGCUUCUCGGCCUUUUGGCUAAGAUCAAGUGUAAAAAAAAAUAAUAAUAAGUAUUUUAUGAAUAAGCAUGGUGGCACUUGCCCUUAAUCCUGGCACAGAUCACUGUGAGUUUGAGGCCAGCCUGGUCUACAUUCA
ensembl:snRNA LOC120095484 U2 spliceosomal RNA